AAAGGCUUAGAUGUUAUAGAAAGACGAGAAGACCCUAUAGAGUUUGAUAGGCUGAUGUUUCAAUUUUGUGAGGGUUUUAUUGGGAUUGAUUGAUCACUUGUUUUGUUGGGGUGACAUAAGAAUUGGAUAAACUUCUUUGAUUGGUUUACAUGGAUUAAUGAAUUUAUGAUCCUGAGUUUUGGAUUAAAAGAAUAAAUUACCUUAGGGAUAACAGCGUAAUCUUUUUGGAGAGUUCUUAUCGAUAAAAGGGAUUGCGACCUCGAUGUUGGAUUAAAGUUAAUUUCUGGUGCAGAAGCUAGAAUGUUA
rnacentral:rRNA from 1 species